rnacentral:lncRNA from 1 species
AUAAGUCACUGUUUGUUUCAAACUGUGAUGACUUUCUGGAAAAAAUAGCUUUUGUAAUAUUUGUCAUACUGGCCCAGAUCCAGAAAGUAGUAUGUUCAGUGUCUAAUUAUACUCCAUAUGGCUUGAACUCUUGAGCAAUCCAUCUGAAGUAGGACCCUGUUAAGAAAUUGUUCUUUGUUUUUUUUUUGAGAUGGAGUUUCGCUCUUGUCGCCCAGGCUGGAGUGCAAUGGCAUGAUCUUGGCUCACUGCAACCUCCACCUCCCAGGUUCAAGCGAUUCUCCUGCCUCAGCCUCCUGAGUAGAGUAGCUGGGAUUACAGGCACCCAGCUGUUUUUUGUAUAUCUGAACAAAUUUACCCUGAAUUGAAUGGGAGAGUGUUUCUUAAUCCCCCAUGUCUUUAGCAGUGAGUCAUUUCCAUGUUGUUGAGACAUUUUCUAGCCUUUAUUGCUGUGUGUAGUUCAUGCUUUUCUCUGGAUGUUUUGACUCCUUAAGGAACUCGCAAUAACAAAUUAACAAUCACACUCCUCUGGAAUGAAAACACGCAGUAUCGGAGUAAUAAAUAGCAGU